CAUCACGAGGGCCCCCCUGUCUUAAGAGGACUCUCCAUGAAAUUGAAUUCGUAGUGAAGAUGCUACGUCCAUAUUGUAAGACGAAAAGUCCCCAUUGAGCUUUACUAAAGACUUAUAUGGCUCGAAUAACUUAAAUAAAAAGUUUAGAUAAUGUGGGAUCUGUUUUUGGUUAAUGAGACACCACUCUUUUAUUUUAAGAGAACUAACCUUAUAGGGAGAAUGUAAGUUAGAUAGUUUGGUUGGGGCGACCACCUUUUAAAAGGUAACGAAGGUGAGCUUAAGGUCCGUAGUUAAUAGCUAGAGGCCUGACUGCAAGGGGGACAUCCCGAGCAGACACAUC
rnacentral:rRNA from 1 species